GUCCGCAUGGCGCAGUGGUAGCGUGGUACGUUCUUCUUAUUGAAAACCCACCGUUCUCAUUGCUCAUCCUCGCAGUCAGUUUCCGGCUUGAGACUCAAGGGUGGAACUCGCUGAAGGCCGUGGGUUCGAACCCCGCUGUGGAUU